rnacentral:rRNA from 1 species
GAUGAACGCUGGCGGCGUGCCUAAUACAUGCAAGUCGAGCGAACGGACGAGAAGCUUGCUUCUCUGAUGUUAGCGGCGGACGGGUGAGUAACACGUGGAUACCCUACCUAUAAGACUGGGAUAACUUCGGGAAACCGGAGCUAAUACCGGAUAAUAUUUUGAACCGCAUUGUUCAAAAGUGAAAGACGGUCUUGCUGUCACUUAUAGCUGGAUCCGCGCUGCAUUAGAUAGUUGUUAAGGUAACGGCUUACCAAGGCAACUAUGCAUAACCGACCUGAGAGGCGGAUCGGCCACACGGGAACUGAGACAGGGUCCAGAGUCCUACGGGAGGCAGCAGUAGGGAAUCUUCCGCAAUGGGCGAAAGCCUGACGGAGCAACGCCGCGUGAGUGAUGAAGAUGUUCGGAUCGUAAAACUCUGUUAUUAGGGAAGAACAUAUGUGUAAGGAACUGUGCACAUCUUGACGGUACCGAAUCAGAAAGCCACGGCUAACUACGUG